CACGUAGGGUGCGAGCGUUGUCCGGAAUUAUUGGGCGUAAAGAGCUCGUAGGCGGUGUGUCGCGUCGGCCGUGAAAACCUGCAGCUUAACUGUGGGCUUGCGGUCGAUACGGGCAUCACUGGAGUUCGGCAGGGGAGACUGGAAUUCCUGGUGUAGCGGUGAAAUGCGCAGAUAUCAGGAGGAACACCGGUGGCGAAGGCGGCUUUCUGGACA
rnacentral:rRNA from 1 species